rnacentral:misc_RNA from 1 species
GUAUAUAUUAUAUAGGCACAACAUUCUAUUAACAUACAUUGGGGGUAAAUGAAGCAACAUAGACCUGAAAGGUCUACAAAAGGUGCACAGGUGGAGAUAUAAAGAUGACAAGGUGUGCACAUUGCUCCCUAGAGAACCAGCAACAACCCAUCAGGUUUAUUUCAAUAAUGAUCCUUCCGCAGGUUCACCUACGGAAA